GGCCCCGCUGCUGCCGUCGUCCCCCUCAGCCGGUUACCCUGUUACAGCCCCAGCUCUGGGCCCUUCCGGACCCUCCUGCUACGCUCUUUCUGGGCUUCCAGUAUCGCCGGUCACUCAGUCCUCGCCCCUGCCUGCCUCGCUGGCGCCCCGCCGUUUCCUCCUCGCGGCACAGUUUGCCAAGGAACAGCUACCCCGGCUCGGCAGUGACCGGGCGCCCCGGCGACACACGUACUCUCAGGCCCGCUGGGCAGGGGGACGGCCUGGGCCGAGUCUGUCAGCACUGCCUUCAAAAUGCACCCAGAAUAGAUUCACAAUUCUACCAUUUCUCUCAACCGCCACUGUCACCACCUUGGUCCAGGCCCCCAUCAUCUGAGAAGCACCAAAAGAGGCAAACUGAGAUGCAGACAAAUGAUCAUCCGUAUGCUGAUCAUUUUGAAUAAUGAAAAGCGGAAUCUAAUUUGCAUUUCAUUAUGAGAGAAUUGAGAAUUAAAUGAAAAGGUAAAUCCUUUUAAAGACCUCAGAAGAUGGAUCUGUUUGUUUCAAUCUGCUUUUGAGGUUGUUUGCUAUGUCUUUGGCUGAUCUAACAAAAACAAAUAUAGAUGAGCAUUUCUUCGGCGUGGCAUUAGAAAACAAUAGGAGGUCUGCAGCAUGCAAGAGAAGCCCAGGCACAGGCGAUUUUUCACGGAACAGUAAUGCUUCCAAUAAGAGUGUUGAUUAUAGCAGAUCUCAGUGCUCCUGUGGAAGUUUAAGUUCUCAGUAUGAUUAUUCAGAAGACUUUCUCUGUGAUUGUUCAGAAAAGGCUAUUAAUAGAAAUUAUUUAAAGCAGCCUGUGGUAAAAGAAAAGGAGAA
rnacentral:lncRNA from 10 species